rnacentral:rRNA from 1 species
CAAUAGCGUAUAUUUAAGUUGUUGCAGUUAAAAAGCUCGUAGUUGGAUUUCGGGUGGGACGCAGCGGUCUCGCAUUGCGUUUGUACUGCUGCAGCCCUCCUUCUUGCCGGGGGCGGCCUCUCGGACUUCACUGUCUGGGGGUCAGAAUCGGCGAUGUUACUUUGAGUAAAUUAGAGUGUUCAAAGCAAGCCUUCGCUCUGAAUAUAAUAGCAUGGGAUAACACGACAGGACUCUGGCCUAUCGUGUUGGUCUGUAGGACCGGAGUAAUGAUUAAGAGGAACAGUCGGGGGCAUUCGUAUUCCAUUGUCAGAGGUGAAAUUCUUAGAUUUAUGGAAGACGAACAUCUGCGAAAGCAUUUGCCAAGGAUGUUUUCAUUGA